GAGGUGGCAAGCGUUGUUCGGAAUUACUGGGCGUAAAGGGCGCGUAGGCGGCCUUCUAAGUCAGACGUGAAAUCCCCAGGCUUAACUUGGGAACUGCGUCUGAUACUGGGAGGCUUGAAUGCGGGAGAGGGAUGUGGAAUUCCAGGUGUAGCGGUGAAAUGCGUAGAUAUCUGGAGGAACACCGGUGGCGAAGGCGGCAUCCUGGACCGACAUUGACGCUGAGGCGCGAAAGCCAGGGGAGCAAACGGGAUUAGAUACCCCGGUAGUCCUGGCCCUAAACGAUGAGUGCUUGGUGUGGCGGGUAUCGAUCCCUGCCGUGCCGAAGCUAACGCAUUUAGCACUCCGCCUGGGGAGUACGGUCGCAAGGCUG
rnacentral:rRNA from 1 species